rnacentral:misc_RNA from 1 species
UCUCCGUAGGUGAACCUGCGGAGGGAUCAUUACUGAGUGAGGGCUUCGGUCCGACCUCCAACCCUUUGUGAACCACACUUGUUGCUUCGGGGGCGACCCUGCCGCUUCGGCGGUGCGGCGCCCCAGGAGGCUAUUAAACACUGCAUCAUUGCGUCGGAGUUAAAGUAAAUUAAACAAAACUUUCACCAACGGAUCUCUUGGUUCCAGCAUCUAUGAAGAACGCAGC